rnacentral:misc_RNA from 1 species
AAGUCGUAACAAGGUUUCCGUAGGUGAACCUGCGGAAGGAUCAUCAUAGGAUUUUUAUAGAUAGCCUGGGUUUUUCCACAGUUGGCCUUUGAUGGGUGACUGUGGGGGACCCAUCCUAUACCCAUUCCCAGCAAAUUGUAUUUUUGGAGGGAGCUUGGUUGACUGAGCAAUGCGAGAGGACAUGUGGGGAGAAAAGAGCAAAACAACUUUCAACAACGGAUCUCUUGGCUCUCA